CUUUCCUUUUUUGUUUUAGGAGGGGGGAUAGGGACACAUGGGCAGGGGCUAGCUUUUGCAAAACUUUUCAUUAUCUCUGCAAUUUGAGAAAACAAGCAAUCUCUUGUACAGCAUUUUUACUGAUUCCAGUAAAAACUGGAAGCUACAAGUUAAAAUCCUGCUGAAUUGUUGCUUUUGUUUGUAGGAAAAGACCUGUGACGUUACAAAUAGCUAGUCUGCGGCUAGCAGAUGUAUACAGUCUUUACUUAAAGCAUGUUGAUUUAAUUUUAACUAGGAAACUAAGCUCAGGCAUGGGCUAUGUUUAUCCUACAAGGCAUUUCAUUUAUCUUGUUUAUCUCAACAAUACUGAGGAAGUUAAAUUUUUUGAUAGAAAAGGAAAAUUGUUACAAUGAAGUUCAGAAAGCAAAACAAAACUAAAUGAACUCAGUUGUAUAAAUGCAUCCAUUGUGCUUUCUCUCUGAUCUGAGUGGUCAUCUCCCUUUUAGAUUUGGAUCAUUCCAGAACUCUGAACACUUGAGCACCCACCAUGGAUGACUUUGAACGCCGUAGAGAACUCAGGAGGCAAAAGCGUGAGGAAAUGCGCCUUGAAGCAGAGAGUGAUCACCUCCAGUUCCUUGAGUCGGCAUUUUGAUUUUGUCAGCAUCUGGUUCAUUACUAAAAGGUUCAGAAUAUUUCCACUGAUUGCUUUCCUGUGAGUAUGAUUAAAGUAUUUACUUCAGACUUCCUUGCCAGAGGAAAUUCAAUAGUGUUUCAGCACUUCUUUUUUAUAUUAUUUUGAAACUUUUCUCUCUCUAUUUUUUUCCCUUGUGUACUUACCUGCUUUUUCAGGGGCUAAUCCAAAGCUAGUAGGCAAGUCUGCAGUCAGGUCUUGAACAUUUAUUCAUUUGGGGCCGCUGUUACCACAAUCUAUUUUCAGAGUAGAUGCUAUAGGAUUUUAUUUUGAAUUUUAUCUUCAAGUCGGAAUGUUUGAAUUUUACAAUAAUCACAUUGUAGGCAUUUGGCUGUUCUUCUAGGAGCUUUUUUUAUUUCUUCAUUGGAUUUCAGCGGGUUUUCUGCUUGCUAUAAGAUUCUUACAUUGUAUUCAAAUCAAAUUCACUUGUCUUUCUGGAGCAAGUAUGGGCUUUGAGGGGUCCUGAGAUUCCAGGUAACCAUGUUUUCUGACUAUUCCCAAUAUGUGUAUCUUAGCUCUAUUUUUUUCUUCUUUAUGUGUUUAUGAUGUGCAUAAUCUUCAUCCCCUUGAAUAUAUGGAAAUUCUAGAGUGAAGACAUACAGAUGACUGGCUCUAAGUUUAAGCAGUGUCUGUGACAGCAACCUGGUGGGAUAUUUCACCAGGUCAAGGCAUCUCCCUUAGGUACCACCAUCUUUGUUAAUUCAGUGUAUAGCAAGCUUUUAAUUCUCUGUGCUGGGUGCCCAUACUCUCCAUUUGCCUGUUUCACUCUACCUCUGCUCUGUUCCUCCCUUUUUUUUU
rnacentral:lncRNA from 1 species